rnacentral:rRNA from 1 species
UACGUAGGCAGCAAGCGUUGUUCGGAAUUACUGGGCGUAAAGAGUGUGUAGGCGGUGCUCUAAGUUCGGUGUGAAAUCUCCCGGCUCAACUGGGAGGGUGCGCCGAAAACUGGGGUGCUGGAGCGCGGGAGAGGAAAGCGGAAUUCCUGGUGUAGCGGUGAAAUGCGUAGAUAUCAGGAGGAACACCGGCGGUGUAGACGGCUUUCUGGACCGUAGC